AUUGAACGCUGGCGGCAUGCCUUACACAUGCAAGUCGAACGGUAACAGGUCUUCGGAUGCUGACGAGUGGCGAACGGGUGAGUAAUACAUCGGAACGUGCCUAGUAGUGGGGGAUAACUACUCGAAAGAGUGGCUAAUACCGCAUGAGAUCUACGGAUGAAAGCAGGGGAUCGCAAGACCUUGUGCUACUAGAGCGGCCGAUGGCAGAUUAGGUAGUUGGUGGGAUAAAAGCUUACCAAGCCGACGAUCUGUAGCUGGUCUGAGAGGACGAUCAGCCACACUGGGACUGGGACACGGCCAAGACUCCUACGGGAGGCAGCAGUGGGGAAUUUUGGACAAUGGGCGAAAGCCUGAUCCAGCAAUGCCGCGUGCAGGAUGAAGGCCUUCGGGUUGUAAACUGCUUUUGUACGGAACGAAAAGCCCUGGGUUAAUACCCUGGGGUCAUGACGGUACCGUAAGAAUAAGCACCGGCUAACUACGUGCCAGCCGCCGCCGUAA
rnacentral:rRNA from 1 species